CCUGAUGUCUUAGACAGUAAAGAAUCUGCCUGCAAUGUGGUAGAUCCAGGUUCAAUCCCUGGGUCAGGA
rnacentral:tRNA from 1 species